rnacentral:rRNA from 1 species
AUGCCGAUAGGAUUCUGUGAGAAAUAUGAAAAACUUAUCCGUGACUUCUGGUGGGGGGACACUGCCGAGCACAGGAAAGUACAUUGGAUGGCUUGGUACCAAAUGACCAAGCCAAAGAGAGGAGGGGGCCUGGGGGUUCAGAGACAUGCACCUUUUAAUCAAGCCCUACUUGCAAGACAAGAUUGGAGGCUGAUCCAGAACCCCGAGAGCCUUUAUGCUAGAGUCUUGAAAUAAAAAUACUAUCCUAAUGGCGAUAUAUUGGAUACGGUCUUCUCCUCGGAUACAUCCCCAGCAUGGCGUGGAAUAGAGUUUGGUUUGGAACUCUUGAAAGAAGGAAUCGUGUGGAGAAUUGGGGAUGGAAGGAGUGUGCGUAUUCAAAGAGACAACUGGAUACCAAGGAGAAGUGGUCUAAAAGCCGCUACCUUUCUAUGCAAUUGCAGACUUAGAUGGGUCAACCAGCUAAUCAAGGCGGACUUUAAUGAGUGGGAUGUGGAUUUGAUAAAGCAGAUCUGCCCAACUUAUGUUGCCGAAGAAAUCUAA